CCUACGGGAGGCUGCAGUAGGGAAUCUUUCACAAUGGGCGAAAGCCUGAUGGAGCAACGCCGCGUGCAGGAUGAAGGCCUUCGGGUUGUAAACUGCUUUUAUAAGCGAGAAAUAUGAUGGUAACUUAUGAAUAAGGAUCGGCUAACUACGUGCCAGCAGCCGCGGUAAUACGUAGGUGGCAAGCGUUGUCCGGAUUUACUGGGUGUAAAGGGCGUGCAGCCGGAGAGACAAGUCAGAUGUGAAAUCCACGGGCUCAACCCGUGAACUGCAUUUGAAACUGUUUCCCUUGAGUGUCGGAGAGGUAAUUGGAAUUCCUAGUGUAGCGGUGAAAUGCGUAGAUAUAAGGAAGAACACCAGUGGCGAAGGCGGAUUACUGGACGAUAACUGACGGUGAGGCGCGAAAGCGUGGGGAGCAAACAGGAUUAGAUACCCGAGUAGUC
rnacentral:rRNA from 1 species